CACGUAGGGUGCGAGCGUUGUCCGGAAUUAUUGGGCGUAAAGAGCUCGUAGGCGGUCUGUCACGUCGGGUGUGAAAUUCCAGGGCUCAACCCUGGACCUGCAUUCGAUACGGGCGGACUAGAGUUCGGUAGGGGAGACUGGAAUUCCUGGUGUAGCGGUGAAAUGCGCAGAUAUCAGGAGGAACACCGGUGGCGAAGGCGGGUCUCUGGGCCGAUACUGACGCUGAGGAGCGAAGGCUAGGGGAGCAAACGGG
rnacentral:rRNA from 1 species